AACGAACGCUGGCGGCAUGCCUAACACAUGCAAGUCGAACGAGACCUUCGGGUCUAGUGGCGCACGGGUGCGUAACGCGUAGGAACCUGCCCUUAGGUUCGGAAUAACUCCCCGAAAGGGGUGCUAAUACCGGAUAAUGUCUUCGGACCAAAGAUUUAUCGCCUUUGGAUGGGCCCGCGUUGGAUUAGCUAGUUGGUAGGGUAAAAGCCUACCAAGGCGACGAUCCAUAGCUGGUCUGAGAGGAUGAUCAGCCACACUGGGACUGAGACACGGCCCAGACUCCUACGGGAGGCAGCAGUGGGGAAUAUUGGACAAUGGGCGAAAGCCUGAUCCAGCAAUGCCGCGUGAGUGAUGAAGGCCUUAGGGUUGUAAAGCUCUUUUACCCGGGAUGAUAAUGACAGUACCGGGAGAAUAAGCUCCGGCUAACUCCGU
rnacentral:rRNA from 1 species